rnacentral:rRNA from 1 species
CCUACGGGGUGCAGCAGUGGGGGAUAUUGCACAAUGGGGGGAACCCUGAUGCAGCGACGCCGCGUGGGUGAAGAAGCGCCUCGGCGCGUAAAGCCCUGUCAGCAGGGAAGAAAAUGACGGUACCUGAAGAAGAAGCCCCGGCUAACUACGUGCCAGCAGCCGCGGUAAUACGAAGGGGGCAAGCGUUAUCCGGAUUUACUGGGUGGAAAGGGGGCGCAGACGGCGAUGCAAGCCAGGAGUGAACGCCCGGGGCCCAACCCCGGGACUGCUCUUGGAACUGCGUGGCUGGAGUGCAGGAGGGGCAGGCGGAAUUCCUGGUGUAGCGGUGAAAUGCGUAGAUAUCAGGAGGAACACCGGUGGCGAAGGCGGCCGGCUGGACUGCAACUGACGUUGAGGCCCGAAAGCGUGGGGAGCAAACAGGAUUAGAUACCCCGGUAGUC